UGGGGAAUAUUGCACAAUGGGCGAAAGCCUGAUGCAGCAACGCCGCGUGAACGAUGAAGGUCUUCGGAUCGUAAAGUUCUGUUGCAGGGGAAGAUAAUGACGGUACCCUGUGAGGAAGCCCCGGCUAACUACGUGCCAGCAGCCGCGGUAAUACGUAGGGGGCUAGCGUUAUCCGGAUUUACUGGGCGUAAAGGGUGCGUAGGUGGUCCUUCAAGUCGGUGGUUAAAGGCUACGGCUCAACCGUAGUAAGCCGCCGAAACUGGAGGACUUGAGUGCAGGAGAGGAAAGUGGAAUUCCCAGUGUAGCGGUGAAAUGCGUAGAUAUUGGGAGGAACACCAGUAGCGAAGGCGGCUUUCUGGACUGCAACUGACACUGAGGCACGAAAGCGUGGGUAGCAAACAGGAUUAGAUACCCUGGUAGUCCACGCUGUAAACGAUGAGUACUAGGUGUCGGGGGUUACCCCCCUCGGUGCCGCAGCUAACGCAUUAAGUACUCCGCCUGGGGAGUACGCACGCAAGUGUG
rnacentral:rRNA from 1 species